UUGUUGGAUCCGUCGUGUGGAGUUAUGAGUGAAUGCGUAGUUUUUUGUGCAGUUUCUAUCAUCCCUGUUGCAUUUGGAAGGUUGUAGUUCCUCGAUACCACACGGAGUUAAGACACCAUAGGCGUAUGUUGUCUGCAAAGGAAAUAUUGAUGACACUGGCGGGACGACAGCACAGCUUGCAAAGAUGAAGUUUCCUACUACAAGAACUAUCCUAAUUUUCUUGUCACUGACACCACUUGGAGUAAAUGGCAAAGAAAACGGGGAGACGUCCAUGUGGCGAAUGCCUGGAAACGUGCGAGAGGGUGACUGGGAAGCCGUGGACGUUUCAGACAGAACAAUUUACGAAGAGAUGGCGCGCCAUGCCGUAUUGGCAUACAAAUCUCGUAACGGUUUUCGAAUUGUGCCGCUAAGCAUCGUUAUGGUCGAAAAAAGGAGUCUGGAAAAAAACCUGGAGUACAAAAUAACGUUCUUGUUUCAAAGCACCAAUUGCACAAUCGACGAAGAUUUCGACCCGGAGAAAUGUAGUCUUGCUGGCCUGAAGCCCACUGGUCAAUGCACGGCGGCAGUGCGGCAGCACCGAUACUCGGCGGAGCAAACAGUCGACUGGAUUCAGUGCAUCGACUUCUUUUAUUAGGCAAUAUGUUAAAAUACAUGCAAGUACACCGAACAAAUAUUUCUUGUGUGUGAUAAGCUAUGUUGGAAGCUGCAAUAAAUGCUUUUGUCUGGCCUA